rnacentral:lncRNA from 1 species
CAUCCGUGGUUAAUCCUACGAUACCACCACCUUCAACACCUCCUACCACACCACCACCAAAUCCUAGGACACCUCCUACAAAUCCUAGGACACCUCCUACAAAUCCUAGGACACCUCCUACCACACCACCACCAAAUCCUAGGACACCUCCUACCACACCACCAACAAAUCCUAGGACACCUCCGAAAAAUCCUAUGACACCUCCUACCAUACCACCACCAAAUCCUAGGACACCUCCUACCACACUACCACCAAAUCCUAGGACACCUCCUACCACACCACCAGCAAACCCUAGGACACCUCCUACCAGACCACCGACAAACCCCAGAACACCUCCUACCACAUCACCACCAAAUCCUAGGACACCUCCGACAAAUCCUAUGACACCUCCUACCACACCACCAGCAAACCCUAGGACACCUCCUACCACACCACCGACAAACCCGAGGACACCUCCUACCACACCACCGACAAAUCCCAGGACACCUCCUACCACACCACCACCAAAUCCUAGGACACCUCCGACAAAUCCUAUGAAACCUCCUACCACACCACCACCAAAUCCUAUGACACCUCCUUCGACACCACCACCAAAUCCUAGGACACCUCCUACCACACCAUCACCAAAUCCUAGGACACCUCCUACAAAUCCUACCACACCACCAACAAACCCUAGGACACCUCCUACCACACCACCGACAAAUCCUAGGACACCUCCUACCAUACCACCACCAAUUCCUAGGACACCUCCUACCACACCACCACCAAAUCCUAGGACACCACCGACAAAUCCUAGGACACCUCCUACCACACCACCACCAAAUCCUAGGACACCUCCUUCGACACCACCACCAAUUCCUAGGACACCUCCUUUUACACCACCACCAAUUCCUAGGACUCCUCCUACUACACCACCAUCAAUUCCAACAACACCGCCGCGUAAUUGUCCACUUUUAAGCUUGAAUGUUUGUGCCAACCUAUUGAAUAAAUUCGUGAUUAACCCAGGAUCCAAUCCUU